GUGGGGAAUAUUGGACAAUGGGCGAAAGCCUGAUCCAGCCAUGCCGCGUGUGUGAAGAAGGUCUUCGGAUUGUAAAGCACUUUAAGUUGGGAGGAAGGGCAGUAAGUUAAUACCUUGCUGUUUUGACGUUACCGACAGAAUAAGCACCGGCUAACUUCGUGCCAGCAGCCGCGGUAAUACGAAGGGUGCAAGCGUUAAUCGGAAUUACUGGGCGUAAAGCGCGCAGAGGUGGUUUUGUAAGUUGGAGGUGAAAUCCCCGGGCUCAACCUGGGAACUGCCUCCAAAACUGCAUGACUAGAGUACGGUAGAGGGUAGUGGAAUUUCCUGUGUAGCGGUGAAAUGCGUAGAUAUAGGAAGGAACACCAGUGGCGAAGGCGACUACCUGGACUGAUACUGACACUGAGGUGCGAAAGCGUGGGGAGCAAACAGGAUUAGAAACCCGGGUAGUCC
rnacentral:rRNA from 1 species